UGAAGGUUGCAGGAAUCGGGGGGCGAUCAGAGUUCUGAAGGUGCAGGAAUCGGGGGCCGAUCAGAGUUCUGAAGGUGCAGGAAUCGGGGGCCGAUCAGAGUUCUGAAGGUGCAGGAAUCGGGGGCCGAUCAGAGUUCUGAAGGUUGCAGGAAUCGGGGGCCGAUCAGAGUUCUGAAGGUGCAGGAAUCGGGGGCCAAUCAGAGUUCUGAAGGUUGCAGGAAUCGGGGGCCGAUCAGAGUUCUGAAGGUGCAGGAAUCGGGGGCCGAUCAGAGUUCUGAAGGUUGCAGGAAUCGGGGGCCGAUCAGAGUUCUGAAGGUGCAGGAAUCGGGGG